GCCUUACGUAGCUUGGUUCGGAGAAAGUCGGUGCGUAUUCGUUCACAUCUGAGACGGUUAUGUGAACGGUGGCGCUGCAAAAAACCAAAAAAACAAACUCAAUAAAUAAAUUGUUGCGGUUUUGUGUGUGUAUGUGACGUUGAAGUGGAUUAAAAUGGACACCUGCAUGGGUAUUUCCCCAACUAUGCAACGAGUUAAAGAUUUUGGGUUUUAUGCCAUAAUUGCGCUUAUGGGAACUUUCCUUAUUGUUUUGCUGUGUUUUAUUUUUUAUAAAACAAUCGAUUCGUUUGGUUAAGUUGUAUCUGUUAUUAAACGAAUUAAAAUGGUUUUCCCAAACAA